UCUUCCGCAAUGGGCGAAAGCCUGACGGAGCAACGCCGCGUGAGUGAAGAAGGAUUUCGGUUCGUAAAGCUCUGUUGUUAGGGAAGAAUGGAUAUGUAGUAACUAUACAUAUAAGAGACGGUACCUAACCGGAAAGCAACGGCUAACUACGUGCCAGCAGCCGCGGUAAUACGUAGGUGGCAAGCGUUGUCCGGAAUUAUUGGGCGUAAAGCGCGCGCAGGUGGUUUAAUAAGUCUGAUGUGAAAGCCCACGGCUCAACCGUGGAGGGUCAUUGGAAACUGUUAAACUUGAGUGCAGGAGAGAAAAGUGGAAUUCCUAGUGUAGCGGUGAAAUGCGUAGAGAUUAGGAGGAACACCAGUGGCGAAGGCGGCUUGUUGGCCUGUAACUGACACUGAGGCGCGAAAGCGUGGGGAGCA
rnacentral:rRNA from 1 species